CUUGGCUAUUUUCAUUGCAGUGGGUGAACUGCUGCUCUGGAUGUCAGCAGCUGAGGUCACUGACAGCACUGAUAUUACAAGUUUGGUGAUGCUCUGAAGAUACUGCACCAGUCCAGGUACUGCAGUCAAGUAGGGAAUACCUGUCAUCAGUUCACAUUCUGAAAUAACUCUGUUCAUCUCUUCCCAAAACUCAACAAACUGCAUUCCUUGCUUUUG
rnacentral:lncRNA from 1 species